AUAUAUUUGAGGGCGGGACCUAAGUGGGGCAAGUGAAAGGUCAUCUGAGCCUGCUAGAUUCGACUGCCAUGCUAACUAAGCGGGAAAUGGCAUUAAAACACCUGUGGAUGUAGUCUACAGUCUUGUUUUGGAGUGUCUAGCCUUCGGAUGUAUCGAAAGUAAUUCUCUGGACACUUCUGCUGUGGGUUGAAUGGACGAAUUUUCCCAGUGAACUUCAUGUGGCCUGUGAUGUGAAGUGAAUUCCAACUCGGCUGUGGAGUGGGACCUGCAUGGUCACGGAUAAGGCCUCAUCCAUCUCUCGCAUCUAAGCAAACUCCAAAGGAUUUGUGGCUCCUGGCGAAAGGCCCACUUUUGACCAAUAUGCUGAUGUCAGAUAUGCCAGGGGUUUUUUGUGUGUUAUUUAAAGGCAAGCCAAGAGGGAAGUAUGUGUCAUCAGUGCUGAAUCCAGAAUCGUUUGCUUCACACCAAACAACAAACCUGCCGCCCCCUGUGGUGUAUGUCGACCUGUUACAAAGCCACUUCUUCCCAGCUGAAGCACAGAGGACUUCAAGCGCUGUUUUAUGCCGACAGCCAUCAGACUUCAGUGUGUACAGAGCUUCCUGCCCCACUGGCCCCAGCCUGAGCCAGUCAGAGUGUGCUCAAGCAGAAUAAUGGUAAAUGCUCUUUCUGCUCUGAGCGAUUCUGUAACUUUGCUUGCCUAAGUAAUAUAUGUUUAAUGUGUGUAGGUCAAUGAAUGUUAAAUAUCCUGCUACGUUAGAAUAUGAUUACAUCAUUCCUUCUGUACAUGUCAUUGUCAGAAAAUGUGUUUCAUGACCGUCCAAUUAACACAACUGUUUAUUUGUAUGACUCCUUCAGAGGUAAUGAGAAAAAUGAAAAUGUGAACUUGUGUGUAUGACUUGUGUGAUAUUUCAACAGCUUUGCCCACAAAUGGGCAUAACUGUUUUGACAGUGUUGUAAUGUAUUUUAUACUUCAGUCCAUUUAAUAAUUUUAAGACAUUU